rnacentral:rRNA from 1 species
CCUACGGGUGGCAGCAGUGAGGAAUAUUGGUCAAUGGGCGAGAGCCUGAACCAGCCAAGUCGCGUGAGGGAUGACGGUCCUAUGGAUUGUAAACCUCUUUUGUCGGGGAACAAAGGCGUCCACGUGUGGACUGAUGAGUGUACCCGAAGAAAAAGCAUCGGCUAACUCCGUGCCAGCAGCCGCGGUAAUACGGAGGAUUCGAGCGUUAUCCGGAUUUAUUGGGGUUAAAGGGUGCGUAGGCGGACAGUCAAGUCAGCGGUAAAAGGGCGGUGCUCAACGCCGUACAGCCGUUGAAACUGGAAGGCUUGAGUGGACGAGAGGUAGGCGGAAGGCGUGGUGUAGCGGUGAAAUGCAUAGAGAUCACGCGGAACUCCGAUUGCGAAGGCAGCAUACCGGCGCCCGACUGACGCUGAGGCACGAAAGCGUGGGUAGCGAACAGGAUUAGAUACCCCUGUAGUC